rnacentral:rRNA from 1 species
UACAGAGGUCUCAAGCGUUGUUCGGAUUUAUUGGGCGUAAAGGGUGCGUAGGCGGUCGGGUAAGUCUGACGUGAAAUCUCCAAGCUCAACUUGGAAAUGGCGUCGGAUACUAUUCGGCUUGAGGAAUGGAGGGGAGACUGGAAUUCUCGGUGUAGCAGUGAAAUGCGUAGAUAUCGAGAGGAACACCAGUGGCGAAGGCGAGUCUCUGGACAUUUCCUGACGCUGAGGCACGAAAGCCAGGGGAGCAAACGGG